rnacentral:rRNA from 1 species
CGCGUAGGUGGUAGUGUAAGUCUGGGGUGGAAUCCCAGGGCUCAACCCUGGAACUGCCUUGGAAACUGCAUUACUUGAGUCAGUAAGGGGAGGGUAGAAUUCCUGGUGUAGCGGUGAAAUGCGUAGAUAUCAGGAGGAAGGCCUGUGGCGAAGGCGGCCCUCUGGCGCUGGACUGACACUGAGGCGCGAAAGCGUGGGGAGCAAACAGGAUUAGAUACCCUGGUAGUCCACGCCCUAAACGGUGGGCACUAGGUGUAGGGCUCGUAAGGGUUCUGUGCCGAAGGGAAACCAUUAAGUGCCCCGCCUGGGGAGUACGGCCGCAAGGUUGAA